CUGUCUGGUGUACUCGUAAUAUCUGGACUGGUUUAAUGGCUUGUUUCAUGGGAGAAGCGCUAAACUUUACCUCAACAUUUAUGUAAAAUUAAAGCUGCACAGAUUCUAAGUCUUGGAAGUUUAUUUCAAAGAAAAGACAAUGCCUGUGCCACAUAUUUGACUUGGUUUUAUAAAUAUUACGAAGCUCCAGGAAAUAUGAGCAGGAUCUCAAAUAUAU
rnacentral:lncRNA from 1 species